rnacentral:rRNA from 1 species
GAUGAACGCUGGCGGCGUGCCUAAUACAUGCAAGUCGAGCGAACAGACGAGGAUCUUGCUCCUCUGACGUUAGCGGCUGACGGGUGAGUAACACGUGGAUAACCUACCUAUAAGACUUGGAUAACUUCGGGAAACCGGAGCUAAUACCGUAUAAUAUAUUGAUCCGCAUGGUUCUAUAGUUAAAGACGGUUUUGCUGUCACUUAUAGAUGGAUCCUCGCCGCAUUAGCUAGUUGGUAAGGUAACGGCUUACCAAGGCAACGAUGCGUAGCCGACAUGAGAGGGUGAUCGGCCAAACGGGAACUGAGACACGGAACAGAAGACUACGGGAGGCAGCAGUAGGGAAUAUUCCGCAAUGGGCGAAAGCUUGACGGAGCAACGCCGCGUGAGUGAUGAAGGUCUUCGGAUCGUAAAACUCUGUUAUUAGGGAAGAACAAAUGUGUAAGUAAAUAUGCACGUAUUGACGGUACCUAAUCAGAAAGCAACGGCUAACUACGUG